GGGGUGGUCGGCUCCUGGGCCCCCCACGGGAAGAGGCUGGCCCUGGGCAUACAUACCGGGUCGCAGGGGCGAACGGGCCCCCUGGUGGGCCGGGCCCGGUCGCAGUCGCGACCCCUGCGACCCUGGUAUGUACGCCAGUGGCCUCGGCCCAUGGCCUUAGCAGCCCACUGGGCUUUUGCCUAGUUUGCCCGAUGGCCAGUCUAGGUCUAAUCAUAGCCCUCCAGCACCCAUACACUAAUCACAGGCCCUGCCACAGCAACCCAUAUGUUCAAAAUAGCCAAUACAUGUUUGUGUUCCAGACUCUACAGGGAGUGCAGAAUUAUUAGGCAAAUUAGUAUUUUGACCACAUCAUCCUCUUUAUGCAUGUUGUCUUACUCCAAGCUGUAUAGGCUCGAAAGCCUACUACCAAUUAAGCAUAUUAGGUGAUGUGCAUCUCUGUAAUGAGAAGGGGUGUGGUCUAAUGACAUCAACACCCUAUAUCAGGUGUGCAUAAUUAUUAGGCAACUUCCUUUCCUUUGGCAAAAUGGGUCAAAAGAAGGACUUGACAGGCU